CCUGCUGCAACGUGAACGUGCGGUCUGCUGCAAACGGGAGCGAGUUUAUUGCUUCUGGACGGAAAAUGUUUGUGCAAGCUUGUGAUUUCAGCGAUUCUACAUCCAGAACAAAUUGUUUAAACACAGUCACAACAACAACAACUAUAUAUUGUGUUUGUUCAAAUGUGUAUAAAUGAGCUAGUUACUUACUCUUAUUAGGACGGAAGUAUUGUAUGUACUCUUACUAUAUUGUGAUUAUCGAACUGUGUACAUGGACAUAUUUUAGUAAACGUUGCUCUGAAGUUAUUGUAUAUUUUAUCUGCUCUUACUGCAUUGUGAAAUAUGUAUAUUUUGUGAGAGCUGUAAGUCGCCCUGAGUGAGGGCGUCUGCUAAGAAAAUGAAUAAGAAAAAGAGGAAGAAAACAAAACGCAACGGAAUUAUUUCUUAAAUCGUGAAGUCACGCCCGUGACGAGGACAAUAGAAACAGGUCAUCUUAACGAAGAUUAUGGAUCCAACAAUGUACAGGGAAAUAUUACUGUACAAGACAAUGGGAAAAUACCCCGAGAAGGCCAGGAAGGGGGAAAAAUUCAUCAUCCGGAGGCGUGCAGGACAAUAUGUGGUUCAAGAUGGAGAGCUCUAUUAUAUAUGUAAGAAGGGUACAGAGCCAUCAAUGAAGGUGAAGGUGGUCAAAGGCACUGAAGAGGCAGACAGUCUCUUCCUGGAAUUUCAUGCAAGUGCUAUAGGGGCACACUGUGGCCAACACAGAACCAGAGAGGCAAUUUCCUCCAGAUAUUACUGGCCUGGAAUGAGUUCCGAUAUUGAUAAUUGGGUGGGUGCUUUUUGAGUGCAGUACAUGACCUACACCAGUAUCCAAUACAAUAACUAGAGAGAUCAAUCGGUUUUUGGUUAUAAAAAUUAAUAAAUGAAAAGGAAGUUUAAACAACAGCUCAACUGAGUUUUCUUAACAUUGAAAAAUCUUACACUGUGUUAUAAACUUUAAAAACAUUUUUAUGCAAGUGCCAUCCUGUUAGAGGCUAUGAGACUGACACCAGCUGUUUGCUAUAUACCUGGUAACAUUUCAUUAAAUUAACAAAAAUAUUUUCCAAUAAUUCACAGUUUGGUAACAUAAUAUGAAAGCGACAUGUCGUGGAAUUCUAAAUAAAAGGAAGAGAGACUGCGAGUUCCAAACACACAGGCCUUUAUUUCUUAAGUUUGCAAACUGAAAACACUCUCAACACACAGGGUGCUAGAUAAUCAUCGAGCAGUGUUUCAACAUACAGAGUUAGAUCAGUUUCUUAUAUACCUUAAAACUGUCAGCAAGGCAGAGGGUUAGCCAAUGAUGAUUCAGAUAUUAGCAUAUAAGGAAAAACAACUUAUAACUGUGCAUACCUGGCAUAUAGCUAAGCAAACAGAUAACAGGAUGGGUGGUUUGGGUGUACGUACAAAGAAACAAGUCUGGCUCAUCCUGUUUCUCUUCACAGCCACAGCUGCAGUGUAGGCAUCUUGCGGUUCCUUGUAACAAACUUUAUCUUAGGCAAAGCAUACAAGCUUAUGCGAGCAAGGUUAUAGGAGUACAAAAUGCCAGUACAUUAUGUCGAGCCAAUUCUAUUUUU